UUGUUUUCUCCGCCUAUCUCUUUUCUCUUCUUUGUUCUUCGUCCAAAAUUGAACAAAAGAGAAACUCAAAUACAAGCAGUAAUCAGUUUAAUACUUAGGGUUUCGAGUGAAAAUUUCUCUUUUUUCUUCGUCGUCUCUAAAUCGGACAAAGAAAACCCCAAAAUCAAUAAUCCUUUUCUUUUAUUUCUUCGUCGUCCCUAAAUCGAACGACACAGAAAACCUCAAAAUCAAUAAUCAGUUCAAUACAUAGAGCUUCAAUUGAAAUCUUGGUUUGAAUAUUUUACACCCAGCCUAAAUUUAAUACUUGGGAUUCAAUUGAAACUCGGUAACCCUGUUUGUGAAAAUUCCAGUGGUUUGAAGAUUUGUUCUAUUUGGUAAAAGGUUGGCAAAAUCAUUUGGAUCCCCCUGUUCUCUUUGGAUCUCUUAAUUUCUUAUUAUGAACUAUUAUUUUUUGUGAUUCAGUGAUAUUUUUGUGAUGUUAGCUCACUGUUGAGUUGAUUGUUAAGAGAGGCAGAGAACAUAUCGCUUGAUCCUAGUAAUGUUACUUAUAGGGAUUUGGUGUUAAUAUGGAGCAAAGAUUUUUUGCUAGAUGGACCACCGGACAACCAACUUCACUAUGGACACUUGCAUGACGUCUUAUACCUGGGAUUGAAAUGUUUUUGCAAAUGUUAGAAAUUUGAGCAAUACAACUAAAGAAAGGACUGAGGAUCGGAAAGCUUGGGCAAGCAACAUACAUCGGCACAUGCAUUGUAUUCUCUCACACAGGUAGUUGCAUGAUUGCAGGUACGAUGUUGCUAUGAACAUAAAUAAUCGAGGUCCUUUUCGACUUAUGACCUUGGCAACAAGGUGCAAGAAACUUCAACUGUUUUUGCAAGUAUCAAUUGCCUAUGUUAACGGACAAAGACAAGGUAGAAUCUUGGAAAAACUAUUUUCUAUCGGGUAUAACAUAGCAAGGGAACAACUCUAAUUUGAUACGCAUGCAAGAGAUCCACCCUUGCUAGAUAUUGAAGCUGAAAUGAAGUUGGCUUUGGAUUCAAAAGAGACUUUCCAAGAAAAUUUAGUAUCUCAAAAAAUGAAAGAUUUUGGUUUACAAAGGUUACAACCAGCCAUAUUCACUGGGGAUACGGAAAGAGUGGUUUUGCAGCAGCGGCGGCAUCUGGUGUCAGUGGUUCUAAUUUGGUAUAGAUCCAAACUUAGAUCCAGAACUUGCUCUUGCUUUUAGAGUUUGUAUGGUAGAAGAGAGAGCAUGACAAGAAGUUGUUGCUAAGAAGACAGCAGGAGGAGUUGCUAAACAAAGACUAGAAUGGUCAAAUUUACAAAUAAUCAAAUGGUUAGUCAUUUUUUCUAAUAGCAAGAUCCGUCAUUGUUUUUUCCACAACUUGUACUCUGUUGGUUUUGCAUGUAGGCUGUAAAUGCCUUCAUAUACAUGCAUUCGGUCAUAUGUGACACAUAACAAAAAUUAAAUGACUAUAUAUACUUGCUUAAAACACU